ACACCGCUAAGCAAGGGACACCACCAAGCAAGCGACACUACCAAGCAAGCGACACUAUGAAGACCAAGGAGCUCUCCAAACAGGUCACAAAGAUUAUGACAAGGACCCUACAGAGCACUAUGAAGAAGGAGAGGAAUAUGGAACCAUGAAGCUCUUCCUACUGGUUGUAAUCCUGGCUGUUGUAACUGCUGUUCUAUUGAUAAUCAUCCUCAUCCUGGUCCUCAAGGUCAGACGAGAUUCAAACAGACUAAACACAGGGGUAGGCAACCCUGGUCCUGGAGUGCUGCAGAAACAUCAUGUUUUUAGUUUAACCGACCUGGAAGACCAGGACCUGACUCACAACGACAACCAACGAAAUGAGCAGAACCAAGAUACUGAUGCACUGAAUUAUGCUGCCCUUAAUUUCACCUCCAAGAAAAAGAAGAGGGAGAGAAGGAGCUGGACCCCCAUGUAGUGUAUGCUGCUACAAGAUGACAAAGUGGAGGGUGGAGAGGAGGACAAGUGGUUUGCCAUGUCUUUGAAUACAUGUUUAAAUCUUCCUAUAUUGUAUUUGUAGUUAAAUCAAAUGUAUUGAAAUGUUAAUAAACUAAGGGCCACUGUAACCCUGUUCCUCUCUUAGGCCACACAGCUCAGUGGUGCAGGGGUGGUUAGAGGGGGAGUUGGACUCAAACCACAACUGAUUAAUGGCCACAGAGUAGUAGUUGCCUCUUGGUCUCUCUUAGCUUUGUUCUCUUGUGUUGUGUUAGUGAAUUGGUUAUUAUUUAAUAAGCUGGCCAUAAAGGACAAAGUACCUAGCAUAGGACAAUUGUAUUACAUUGAUUACUUAAUAAAAAGUUUUAUCAAAAC
ensembl:lncRNA